rnacentral:sRNA from 1 species
ACCAAAUGAUUACGUACCUAGCCCAACCCGUAAUAUGGCUCCCUCGCAGCAGAGCCCUGUGAGGACAGCUUCUGUGAAUCAAAGAAAUCGAACUUACAGGUCAUCCUGUACAGUUCUACAGCAUGAAUAGGCCUGCCUCUCGCCAUACUCCCCCAACAAUAGGGGGCUCGUUGCCCUAUAGACGCCCUCCUUCCAUUACUUCACAAACAAGCCUUCAGAAUCAGAUGAAUGGAGGACCUUUUUAUAGCCAGAAUCCAGUAUCUCUUGCUCCUCCUCCUCCCUCCAUCCUACAGGUAACUCCUCAGUUACCUUUAAUGGGAUUUGUGGCCAGAGUCCAAGAAAAUAUUUCAGAUACACCACCUCCACCGCCACCUGUGGAAGAACCAGUCUUUGAUGAGUCUCCCCCACCUCCUCCUCCUCCAGAAGAUUACGAAGAGGAGGAAGCUGCUGUGGUUGAGUAUAGUGAUCCUUACGCUGAAGAGGACCCACCGUGGGCUCCACGUUCUUACUUGGAAAAGGUUGUGGCAAUUUAUGACUAUACAAAAGACAAGGAAGAUGAGCU